rnacentral:snRNA from 1 species
ACACUUACAUGGCAGGGGAGAUACCAUGAUCACAAAGGUGGUUUUCCCAGGUUGAGUCUCAUCCACUGCACUUCAGGUGUGCUGAUCCUGCGAUUUCCCCAAAGGUGGGAAACUCGACUGCAUAAUUUGUGGUAGUGGGGGACUGUGUUUGUGCUUUCCCCUG